GACGUAGGGCGCGAGCGUUGUCCGGAUUUAUUGGGCGUAAAGAGCUCGUAGGCGGCUUGUUGCGUCGACCGGUGAAAACUCGGGGCUCAACUUCGGGCUUGCGGUCGAUACGGGCGGGCUAGAGUUCGGUAGGGGAGACUGGAAUUCCUGGUGUAGCGGUGAAAUGCGCAGAUAUCAGGAGGAACACCGGUGGCGAAGGCGGUUCUCUGGGCCUUAACCUGACGCUGAGGAGCGAAAGCGUGGGGAGCGAACAGG
rnacentral:rRNA from 1 species